GAAUAACGAGUAAACAUGCGGUGAAUUUAUUACUGACCACAGUAACCAUCGAUCAGUGCCAUGUUUAUCUUUUCUUGUUUGUUUGUUAUCGCAGCAUGCAAGAUCAUGACGCCAAGCUACAAUUCAGUUUUCCACUUGACCAUAGUCUUGUUUGUCGGAGCCGCUCUACAACUGACUGAAGGCAGUCUUGAUGCAACGCGAAGACUUGAACAACUUAUAGAGCAAGCCGAAAGGGAAUCGAAAAUACUCGCUAACGAGAUCAACCAAUGGCUGAUUCAAGAGAGCGGAAUUUCGGUGACGGAAGACGAACGAGCGCAUCACCGGUCCCGAAGAUCUGACGAUGAGGACGACGAAGAUGUGCGAACGGAUACGAACUUGGUAUCGGAUAUAGGUCGAUUAAUCGUCCGAAGAAAUGCCGGUGAACAUGAAGAUAAUCACAAGAAAAAGAAGGAUUCUCCUGAGAUCAAGAGAAAAGACGUACGGGUGGGUAAAGAGUCACAUCAUUUGUCAAAGAAACAUGGGUUACAGGCAGACAAACAUGUCAAGAAACGAAAUACAAAGAAAAAGGUACAAGACAAGACAAAAGCUUUGAAAGCUAAACGAAUUUCCAAGCAACAGGAUAAAAAACCGAAGCAUAAAGCAAACAGUGAUGAGAUAAGUAAAGAAAACCUGGUCAAAGCCUUGAUUGGAAGUGACGCCAGAGCAAAGGAUCACAAAGAACAAACUGGCGUCCCCGAGAAAGCAUACAGAGCGCUUGUGGAAUUCAUGGCUGGAAGCGAGCAGGCAACCAUCGAGACAGGCAGCAAGAAAUCUGACAUCGCCAAGCCACAAGAAGCAGGAGGGAAAGAUCUUCCGCGUUCUUCGAACGCGAAACAUGGGGUUCGCAGAAAGUUGACAAAGAAGCACAAGCGUGUUCUCGAAAUACUUUCGAAGAUGCCUCAAAGUGUUUUGCGUAAAUACUUCCAUCUUAAAGGUUUGGACAAAUACUGGAAAGUCAUGGACAAUAUUCGAAGAAAACAGGCUGAGAAAGAGAUUGCUAAAGAGAAGGUGAAGACGCAUAAAGAUGAGAAGAUUGUAAAAGUGUUAAAGGACCUUGCACCCAAAAAAACCAAAACUUUCACACAUCCAAAGAAAAUUAGACUGUUGCAGAAACAAGCUAAAUCACAUCAAAAGAAUUCCAAGCAAACUGUUUCGUCGCAUGAAGUAGUUAAAGACAAAGAAGCAGAAAAAAUGGUCAAAGAUGAAACGACAAAGAUGGCAGGGAAGGAUAAAGCAACAGAGAAAAUAGUAAAAGAUAAAACUACAGAGAAAUCUCAAAAGCCAUCAGCGCCGCACAGUUCCUUAAAGAGCCAGAAAGCAGCAAAGAAUGAUGCGAAACAGACGCAGAUUGAGACAGCUCUCUUCAAGAAGGAGCAAAGUCACAAGACAGCAAUAGAACAGCACGCAACACCUCAGAAAGACACGCAUAAGAAUCUACCAAAGAAGAUAAAGAGUAAAGAUAUUGUUAAAGUAGAAGAUAAGAUCAAGAAGAACGAUGCUGGAAAGAGUGCGGAAACGUCGAAAGACGCGCCUCAUAUUAAAGACGCUACUUCUCCGAAAAAGGCUAUUGAGAACCCAAAAUCUCCUGUUCAAGACUUGUCAAAAAAAGAAGCAGAAAAGAAAGUUAGUUUGAAACCAGCAGCUGCUGAACAAGCAGCGCUGACUAAGGCCUCAAAAGAAAAAGCUUUAAAUACGAAAGAUAAGCCAGCGCAAGGUGUGCAAGUUAACGCCAGUCACUUGAAAAGUCCCGCUAGUGUGGAAACCAUAAAAACAGCAAAGCUUCAAACAGCUGAAAAUAAAGAUCUGCCCACACAUGAAAUCAAGAUAACCAAAGAAAAACCUCAAGUACAUACAGAGUCACUCCAACUGAAAGCAAUGUCUCCUAACGUAACGAAGAAGGUGAUCAAUCAAAACAGUUCAACAGUCGCACACGAUAAACCCAAAGAAAUCUUGAAAGCUCUAGCGGUCACAGAACAUCACGUGGUCAGAGCAGCGCAUGCUCCUCAGAAGCCUGAGGUAAAACAAGAGAAAGGUUCUCAGGUCAAACAGCAAAGUCCUGAGGCGAGCAAGAUUGACAUUUUAAAGGAAAAGAUCCAGAAAACUAACACAUUAAAGUUCAAAGUGGCUCAAGCACUACUCGCUCAUUGUGAAACUCAGAACAGGCUUCGACAGGUGUUUGACGAGGUCAACUCUUCCCUGAAGAAGGCAGCGUCUCUUGCCAAAGCUAUUGGAGCGAAAUUCGGGAUUAAACCAAGUGAUGUUGAGAAGAUGACUUCAGAGCACACCGAAGGAGCAGUGGAGCAGUUUUUGAACAAACUGUUUUAGCUUUAAUUGACGGUAUUCUUCAAACUUGCAAUAGAAGGCGCAUACCAUUUGUCAGGUCUGGCCAGCCGAACCGAUUUGAGUUGAUCCAAAGUGGCGAACAAUAGCUCGGGCUGAUUCUAGACGCAAUGACAUGGUCCUGUUGUCAGAGAAGGACAGCCGGGAUCUAGCGUCAAACGCAGAAAACGCGGGUUUUUUUGGCGUGAAAAUUUUCAUCUUGAGUCACUGCAACUACAACUGUCGUUGAAAUUUUUUGCUAAAUAAGGCUGACUAGAACUGACAGAUGGGAGGUGCCUGCGCAAUCUAAGAUUACAGACUCACUACACCCAGUAUAUAUAAUAACGUAUGGACAUUUUACUUAACAAAAAGUAUUCAUCUACAUUCUAUAUUUAAUAUGCCAGCAUGCUUGCAAGCCUUUGCGGGCGAGCUAGUCUUCAGUUGCAAUGCAAUGAAUUAUAUCAUCGCUUAUUGUAAGUAUCUAUUUUUUAACUCUUCGAGAAACUAUAACCCUAUCAAAACAUGCAAAAAUUUAUGUAAUCCGCCACAGAAGCAUGAGCCAUAAUUAGUAACGCGCAGCUGAUUAUGUAAUAAAAGCUAUUUUAUCGCAAAAUUAAAAGUUUCUCUCUGUUUUUCGGGAUUCUUCUGAGGUUAAAAUGGAUUUUAAAAUUUUGGAAGGGGGGAGUUUGAGAUAGAUCAAUUCCGGACACCAGAAGAUUAGUCCCUAUCUGACGAUCUUCUGUUCCCAUUAUUGUGGAACACCCAUAACCCAGAUAUGCGUAAUAGAGUAAAAACCUACUUACAGCUGCUAACACGUGACAGACAUUAACACAAAACAAGGAAGUGAUUACUAUCGUAGCUAGCCUCUUCAUUUCCUGCACGUCUCAGUGACAGCCAAGCGGUGCAAUAUGGGAUCAUGACAUGUAUCAUUUUCUUGUUAGCGAAUGACAGGUUAAAAAGGUCUUCAUCUCGAAUUUUGUUUGUUUAAACCUCUAGAAGUCAUCUGCACUCCGCUCUCAGUCUUCGUUUCUCUAACGUCACAUUACAGUUUUCGAAUUUAAUGUCUAAUUUAAGUUAUAAAACUCUCGCAAUGUUAUGUACCCUUUAGGUACUAAAUAAAAAAAAUUAAAUUGGCUAAACUUAGCAAACAACUGUUGUGACUUGCCAGUAGUCAAAUAUUUAUAUCUGUCGACGUCACAUUACAUGUGAAUAGGUAAAUAAGUAGCUUAUUUCCUUACAUGUUUACUGCACUCGACACUCAAGAACUUUACCAGAUGGUUUAUUUUGAGAAGAGAUAAUCUUAGCUUGGCCUUUGAAGAAAUUGAAGGAGGCGCAGAGAUUUGCUCGCAAUGAGUCAAAGUGUUUCGAUUCUUGCAACAGUGAACAACACAUGCUGGACCUGUUACUAGCCUCUCCCUCUUGUGGCCAGCUAUGUUUCUGAUUCUGCUCUUAAUGGGUCUGUCAGUGGAACUACAUAUUCAAGCCUCAGCGCAACAACGAAAGUCAAGAGACAUCAUAGAAUUUUUCAAAAAAGCUGGAGAGAACGCAAUAAAAGCGAUCUCCGGUCUGAUUCCUGGCGGGAAACCCACAUCCCAGCUGACAACGCAACCCAGGGGACCUAAGAUACCGCUGAAUACAAUCAACGAGGACGCCAUCAAACCUGUCAUACCAUACAAACGUAACAUGAUAGGGGAAUUGAAGAAUGGAAACAGAAUGACAACAAACUUGGAUAACUUGGUUUUGAAAGUGAGGAAAGUCAGAUUCGGAAACAAAAGGAUGGUGGAAAAACAGCAAAAGGAACUCAGCAAAUACAACAACGGAGACAAGAACAACAACAAACGCCAACUUAACAGCGAAAGAAUUAAAACAAAGAUAGGGCUAUUGCCUGUAAAACAAGGACAAUAGAUAAAUGUAAUAAGCUAUUAGCCAAUUUUUUUUUUUGACUUUUGAAAACUGGAGCAUUGUAUCCACAAUGGAAGCUGCUUGGUUUCUUGUAAAAGAAGGAAAAUACGAUGUGUUUUGUAGACGAUUUCGUUCAAAAUUCCUUUAACUAAAUUAUGGACAAACUUUUAUUAAUUCUACAAGUAGGUGUGUAAUAGAAUUUAAUCCUUUUUUGAUGAGUAGCUUCAGUUUAACAUGCCUACCUCUAAUAAAAAAGUAGAAUUAAAAGGGGGAGAAAUAGGGUUAUGCAGGCCGGCUAAGAAACGAAAUCAGUGCUACAUAAAUAAAGUAUUACUGUUAUUGGUUAUUAUUAUUAUUUUUGUGUUAAUAAUUGAUAACCGAGAAAGAUAAAUAAAGAUUAGCUAAGAUCGAGAAACUAGGCUAAAUACGAGCCCGUAGGACUUUUUCGCACCUUCUGCGCAGCUUAUCUGCGUUUAGGGCCGGGACAUAUUGCUUGGCAACCACUUUGAAAGUCCAGUUCCUCGCCGAAUAAAAAGAGCCAGAAUAAGAAUCCAAGGACUGGAUGCCACUUUCACGAAAACCGUGAUCUCUUCUGAUUGCACAACCUGCUUUGCCAUUGUCGAUCAGUGUAGGUGCUUUCCACGCACAAGUGUGUCCCUGUAAGGCAAAUACUUCAUAGCCGGGAAACAGUGUUUCUCCUCCAUUAUUGCUUUCCCACUUUACUCCUUUUCUCUUUACCGUCGACGGGUAUUUUGUAAUGAGUCAGAGAAGAAUACAGACAGAUGACACCAUUCUCUAUUUUACUUUUAACAGAAAAGGAAAUACACUGGAAAAUUCCGGUAUAUCGAAUGUCUGUUCUCUUCUAAUUAUUCCUUGAAAGAAUUGAUCCGGCAUCAAUACUGUGACUUUAUUGCCACUUCAUUCGUUUAGUGCUUGGGAGACUUCAACCUCCACCUUAAGAUUAUUAAGUUAGUCUGAUUUGACCGAUUAACAACACAAACCUACGUUAAGAAUUAUUUCAAAGUAAGCUAAAAAGACAGUCCGCGUUACAUGUAAAUAGAAACACUUUUUGACAUAGCGGCUCUUACGAGGAAAGUACAGUUUGAGCGAAAGAAGUAACCCGAAACCCAAUAACAACGGGACUUAGAACCACUCGACUCAAAAUUAACGCUGUUGUUGUUGCUUUUUUCAACCUAAUUACCGUGACAAACCGCUUGCCAAAAGCAAGUGGCGCAGGACUUGACUCCACGAAGUUUUCGAUUCUGAUUAACAGGUAGAAGAUCAAUUUUGCACCAACCGCUCUAAAUUUAUAACUUUAAUUGUGCACUUGUUACAUCAGCCACCGGAAAAAAAGUAUACUCCCGCCUUGUGUUAAUUUCCCGCUACAUCACAUCUGUCUGUUUGUCAGGCACCGAUAGACGUUGGGUAUGUUAUAAUUUAGCUUAGAAGUUGGAAGUUCAUAUUAUAUUUGCGUAGAAGAAGGAAGAUUCAUUUAUGUCAAAGUGACCAAUGCUGAACCACCGUUAUAUCUAUAACAUAUCGCAACAACACUACAAAACAUAAUUUUUCACGAUUCCGAGGGUUGAAAUAGCUUCAGUGGUGUCUUGCAUGGCGACAGGAGAUCGUCCUGCUCGAGGUGUACGGUUGUCACUGAAGCGCUUAGUUAGUUCUUACACUGAAUUCGUGCAGCAUAAAGAGACUAGGUGUAUUUCCACUCUCCCCGAGAUCGGACGCUAGUCCAUCGCAAGGAUAUCAGCCAGCAUUAAGUUCGCCGGUGCCCAUCUAUACACCUGGCUGGUACAACGCUAUGAGCCCAUCAAGGCUCUAACUUACACCACUUGGUCCUAAUUGAGCGCGCUAACCUGUAGGCCAUGGCCCCUCGCCUCCCUCUUCAAAAAGAUAUUCUCGCAA